rnacentral:rRNA from 1 species
AGUGAACGCUGGCGGUAGGCCUAACACAUGCAAGUCGAACGGCAGCACAGUAAGAGCUUGCUCUUACGGGUGGCGAGUGGCGGACGGGUGAGGAAUACAUCGGAAUCUACUUUUUCGUGGGGGAUAGCGUAGGGAAACUUACGCUAAUACCGCAUACGACCUACGGGUGAAAGCAGGGGAUCUUCGGACCUUGCGCGAUUGAAUGAGCCGAUGUCGGAUUAGCUAGUUGGCGGGGUAAAGGCCCACCAAGGCGACGAUCCGUAGCUGGUCUGAGAGGAUGAUAAGCCACACUGGAACUGAGACACGGUCCAGACUCCUACGGGAGGCAGCAGUGGGGAAUAUUGGACAAUGGGCGCAAGCCUGAUCCAGCCAUACCGCGUGGGUGAAGAAGGCCUUCGGGUUGUAAAGCCCUUUUGUUGGGAAAGAAAAGCAGCAGGUUAAUACCCCGCUGUUCUGACGGUACCCAAAGAAUAAGCACCGGCUAACUUCGUG